rnacentral:rRNA from 1 species
GUGUCAGCAGCCGCGGUAAGACGUAGGGCGCGAGCGUUGUCCGGAUUUAUUGGGCGUAAAGAGCUCGUAGGCGGCUUGUCGCGUCGACUGUGAAAACCCGCGGCUCAACCGUGUGGUCUGCAGUCGAUACGGGCAGGCUAGAGUUCGGUAGGGGAGACUGGAAUUCCUGGUGUAGCGGUGAAAUGCGCAGAUAUCAGGAGGAACACCGGUGGCGAAGGCGGGUCUCUGGGCCGAUACUGACGCUGAGGAGCGAAAGCGUGGGGAGCGAACAGGAUUAGAUACCCCCGUAGUCC